AGCGAACGCUGGCGGCAGGCUUAACACAUGCAAGUCGAGCGGGCGUAGCAAUACGUCAGCGGCAGACGGGUGAGUAACGCGUGGGAACAUACCUUUUGGUUCGGAACAACACAGGGAAACUUGUGCUAAUACCGGAUAAGCCCUUACGGGGAAAGAUUUAUCGCCGAAAGAUUGGCCCGCGUCUGAUUAGCUAGUUGGUGAGGUAAUGGCUCACCAAGGCGACGAUCAGUAGCUGGCUGAGAGGAUGAUCAGCCACAUUGGGACUGAGACACGGCCCAAACUCCUACGGGAGGCAGCAGUGGGGAAUAUUGGACAAUGGGCNCAAGCCUGAUCCAGCCAUGCCGCGUGAGUGAUGAAGGCCCUAGGGUUGUAAAGCUCUUUUGUGC
rnacentral:rRNA from 1 species